GACGAACUGUGCGAGCGUUGUUCGGAAUCACUGGGCUUAAAGGGUGCGUAGGCGGCUUGUUAAGUCGGGGGUGAAAUCCUUCGGCUCAACCGGAGAAUUGCCUUCGAUACUGGCGAGCUGGAGGAAGGUAGGGGUCGCGGGAACUGCCAGUGGAGCGGUGAAAUGCGUUGAUAUUGGCAGGAACGCCGGUGGUGAAGACGCGCGGCUGGACCUUUUCUGACGCUGAUGCACGAAAGCCAGGGGAGCAAACGGG
rnacentral:rRNA from 1 species